rnacentral:tRNA from 2 species
GGUGAUGUAGCUCAGUCGGUAGAGCAGAGGACUGAAAAUCCUUGUGUCGGCGGUUCAAUUCCGUCCAUCACCA